rnacentral:lncRNA from 13 species
ACCAUUCUUGAUACACACAGGAAACUGUUGAGCGGGGAAAAACCCGCUCAACAACCCAUGGCACCUACUACCAUACCCCAUUCAUAGGCACUUACAUUCACCCUCUGAAUGGCACACAUACACAGUGCAUGUCUUAAUUGUCUCCAGGCUUAAAAAUCCUUCAUAGCCCUGUCUUCUCCCCUUCAUCUACACUGAUUGAAGUGGAGUUUAACAAGUGACAUCAAUAAGAGAUCAUAGCUUUCACCUGGUCAGUCUAUGUCAUGGAAAGAGCAGAUGUUCCUAAUGUUUUGUCCACUCAGUGAAUGUCUAGAUAUGUAUGUGUUUGUAGUGUCUUAACUAAGUAUGUCUGUAGUGUCUUAACGAAGUCUGGGUCUGGUGUCUUAGCGAAGUCUGGUUCUGGUGUCUUAACUAAGUCUGUGUGUAGGGUCUUAACUAAGUCUGUGUGUAGGGUCUUAACUAAGUCUGUGUGUGGUGUCUUAACUAAGUCUGGGUCUGGUGUCUUAACUAAGUCUGUGUGUAGUGUCUUAACUAAGUCUGGGUCUGGUGUCUUAACUAAGUCUGUGUGUAGUGUCUAAACUUAGUCAAACCUCCAUCAAACCAUUUAGAAUAUCUGAUCCAGUAGAGGUCCAUUAGAUCCCAGUUCGAAGUACAGUAGAUCCACUAGAUCCCAGUUCAAAGUACAGUAGAUCCACUAGAUCCCAGUUCAAAGUACAGUAGAUCCACUAGAUCCCAGUUCAAAGUAUAGUAGAUCCACUAGAUCCCAGGUCAAAGUACAGUAGAUCCAUUGGGUCCUGUUGUACUGUAUGUUAAGAUCUGCCCGCUAGCUUCUCUAUCUGUGAGACUAUAUGUUAAGAUCUGCCCACUCUGUGAGUGCGUCCUGUCAGGCUGUUUCCCUGCCUGGUACGGCAACUGCACCACACGCAACCGCGGGGCUCUCCAGAGGGUAGUGAGGUCUGCCCAACGCAUCAUCGGGGGCAAACUAUCCGCCCUCCAGGACACCUACAGCACCCGAUGUCACAGGAAGGCCAUAAGAUCAUCAAGGACAACAACCACCCGAGCCACGGCCUGUUCACCCCGAUAUCAUUCAGAAGGCGAGGUCAGUACAGAAAGUGCUAAAUACUAAGCUGAGACCGAGGGACUGAAAAACAGCUUCUAUCUCAAGGCCAUCAGACUGUUAAAUAGCCAUCACUAGCACAUUAGAGGCUGCUGCCCCAUAUACAGACUUGAAAUCUGCAUAUAUAGACUUGAAAUCACUGGCCACUUUAAUAAUGGAACACUAGUCACUUUAAUAAUAAUGUUGACAUAUUUUACAUUACCCGUCUUGUAUGUAUAUACUGCAUUCUGUCCUAUUUUACUGUAUUUUAGUCAAUGCCACUGACAUCGCUCAUCCAAAUAUUUAGAUUUACGUUCUUAAUUCCCUUCCUUUACAUUAGAUUGUGUGUAUUGUUAGAUAUUACUGCACUGUUGGAGCUAGAAACACAAGCAUUUCGCUACACCCGCAAUAACAUCUGUAUGUGACAAAUACAAUUUGAUUGGAUUUUUUUUUGGUCUUCCUUUUGGUGCCUAAUGAACACGACCCUGGUCGUGCCUAUUAAUGAUCAGCCUUCUGGACAGAAAUAAGUUCAUCACGAUGUACAGUAUUUAGAGAGAGAGACAGAGUGAGAGAAGGAGAGAGCGGGAGAGCGAGAGAAAAUUAGCGAGUGAAUACAAGAAGGACAGGAAGAAUUAAAUGAAUGAGAGUGAGAAUCGAGAGGGGGAGAAAAGAGAAGAAGACAAAGAUUUGGAGAGGAUGGAGAACAGGGUAACAUUAAACACAUUCAGCAGUUCAUCAGGCAGAACUGUGCAUAUACUAUCUGGACUAAGAGAGAGCCAGAGGGAAAAGAUAGCGAGAGAGGGACUCACCCCAGAGACAAUGUCAACAGUAGCCUGAGAGAGAGAGGGA